CGUGAAAGAGCCGUAUCCAAACUGUACUUUGAAGGAAUCAGAGAGUACUGCUUUUGAAUUACUUCCUUCCCGUGGCAACUCCCAAAUCCAGUCCAGCAAGAGGCCUGGAGGCCUCACGGUCCCCUCAAGCUUUCAGAUGGUGUCUGAGCAAACGCAAGGGCCAAUCAAAUUAGCCCAACACUGGCCACUUCCGAGCGCUCACUCGAGAUGACAGCUUCAGCUUCAAAAGAGGUUCUUCCCAUGCACGAACACCUGGCAGUGGAGGCUGAUGAAGAAAAUCAGGCUGGGGGUGUGCAGGUGCACUGCUGGAGUAACUCGCUGCAGGACGAAAAGCUACUCAGCCGUAGCUCUAUCUGCUUUUACCAAGAGCACAGAAGUUCUAUUAAUAGAAGGGAAAAUGUUACACUACUGGGUGUAAUACCUGAGUCUCCUGCCUUCACUUGGUUCCCUACGAAGCAAAGACUGGCACAAAGGAGGGAGUGGGAAACGGAGCAAGUCAACUUCUCAGCACCCGCCACAGAGGAAAGUGCUGACCCAGCCAGCAAGGGGCCCUGGGACCCAGCUGACUCCGAAGCAGAUGGCGAUGUGAGGGGCACAUUCAUCACACAGCUACCUGAGCAGCAGAUGAACGAAAUUCCCAGCAAUCCUGUGCUCAGUCUGUAGCUUAAAAAAUACAGCCAUCUUACUUCCUCUCUCUCUCUUUUAAAAUAGGAGCAGAUAUUUUUCAUGUCUCACCCAGAUGCUACUAUUUCUCUGUUAUUUGCACUUGCUGUGUUGAAAUGCAACAGAUGUUUCAAAAGGGUUUAAAUUCCUCAUGAGGGACUCUGACAAAUAAACUGAAC
ensembl:lncRNA